rnacentral:rRNA from 1 species
UUAAGCUAAUAAGAGCGCAGGGAGGAUGCCUUGGCAUCAGGAGCCGAAGAAGGACGUGGUAAGCUGCGAAAAGCUACGGGGAUUGGCAAGCACGAUAUGAUCCGUAGAUGUCCGAAUGGAGCAAUCCACAUGGAGUCAAGUCCAUGUAUCAUAUACUGAAUAAAUAGGUAUAUGAGGGGAACCGCCCGAACUGAAACAUCUAAGUAGGGCGAGGAAAAGAAAUCAACCGAGAUUCUGUGAGUAGUGGCGAGCGAAAGCGGAAGAGGCUAAACCGAGAGGAGCAAUCCUUUCGGGGUUUAGGACUGCAUUUAGUACAACGAUUGUUAACCGAACAGCAUGGGAAGGCUGAUCAAAGAAGGUGAGAAUCCUGUAGGUGAAAACGAAAGUUGACGAGCAGUAUCCAAAGUACCGCGGGGCACGUGAAAUCCCGUGGGAAGAUGGGGGGACCAUCCUCCAAGCCUAAAUACUACCUGAUGACCGAUAGCGAAUAGUACUGUGAAGGAAAGGUGAAAAGCACCCCGGGAGGGGAGUGAAAGAGAACCUGAAACCCUGUGCUUACAAGCACUUAGAGCACGUCAAAGUGUGAUAAGGUACCUAUUGUAGAAUGGUCCGGCGAGUUAUUGUAUGCAGCGAGGUUAAGUAGUUCAGCUACGGAGCCGAAGUGAGAGCGAGUGUUAACAGCACGUUCAGUUGCAUGCAAUAGACCCGAAACCGGGUGACCUAUCCAUGUCCAGGAUGAAGUGAGGGUAAAACCUCAUGGAGGUCCGAACCCACUCCCGUUGAAAUGGUAGGGGAUGAGGUGUGGAUAGCGGAGAAAUUCCAAUCGAACCCGGAUAUAGCUGGUUCUCCCCGAAAUAGUUUUAGGACUAGCCUCGUGAUCAAGAUUAUCGGAGGUAAAGCACUGAAUGGCCUAGGGGUCGAGAGAUUACCGAAGCCUAUCAAACUCUGAAUGCCGAAUAAUCAUGCACGGGAGUCAGACUGUGUGAGAUAAGUUUCAUAGUCGAAAGGGAAACAGCCCAGACCUACAGCUAAGGUCCCAAAGUACGUUUAAGUGGAAAACGAUGUGAAAUUGCGUAGACAACCAGGAUGUUGGCUUAGAAGCAGCCAUACAUUAAAAGAGUGCGUAAUAGCUCACUGGUCGAGUGACUUUGCGCGGAAAAUUUAACGGGGCUAAAACGUACACCGAAGCUUAGGCUUGCAACUAUGUUGCAGGGGUAGGGGAGCGUUGAAUGAGGGGUGAAGUCGUAGCGAAAGCGACGGUGGACUUCAUUCAAGUGAGAAUGCCGGAAUGAGUAGCGAGAAUUAUGUGAGAAUCAUAAUGGCCGAAAGCCUAAGGUUUUUGGAGGAAGGUUCGUCCGCUCCAAGUAAGUCGGAAGCUAAGGUGAGGCUGAAAAGCGUAGCCGAUGCACAAACGGUUGAAAUUCCGUUACCACAGAAAGAUUUAAACUAAGGGACACUUUUGAAGAGCUGAUGCCGGGUGUUGGUUACCCCGGUCGUAAGGGAACGAAAUUAAGUAGUGAAGUCAGCGUGGAUGAAGGCGAGAAAAGCUUAGUGUAUAUCUUAUGUGUCCGUACCGCAAACCGACACAGGUAGGUAGGAAGAGAAUUCUAAGGCCAACGGGAGAAGGGUAGUUAAGGAACUCGGCAAAAUGUCCCCGUAACUUCGGAAUAAGGGGAGGUUUCUACGGAAACCCGCAGAGAAUAGUCCCAGGCAACUGUUUAUCAAAAACACAGCUCUAUGCUAAAUCGAAAGAUGACGUAUAUGGGGUGACGCCUGCCCGGUGCCGGAAGGUUAAGAGGAGGAGUGAGAGCCCUGAAUCGAAGCCCCGGUAAACGGCGGCCGUAACUAUAACGGUCCUAAGGUAGCGAAAUUCCUUGUCAGGUAAGUUCUGACCCGCACGAAUGGCGUAAUGAUCUGGGAGCUGUCUCAACUGCCCGCCCGGCGAAAUUGUAGUACCGGUGAAGAUGCCGGUUACCCGCGACUAGACGGAAAGACCCCAUGGAGCUUUACUGUAGCUUAAUAUUGGAUUUCGGCAUUUCAUGUACAGGAUAGGUGGGAGACUAGGAAACAUAGGCGUCAGCUUAUGCGGAGUCGUCCUUGGGAUACCACUCUUGGAGUGCUGAAAUUCUAACCUGCAGCCCUGAAUCGGGUUGGGGGACAUUGUUAGGUGGGCAGUUUGACUGGGGCGGUCGC